rnacentral:rRNA from 1 species
GGUUUAAUUCGAUGAUACGCGAGGAACCUUACCCGGGGCUUGAACUGCAGGAGAACGAUUCAGAGAUGAUGAGGUCCUUCGGGACUCCUGUGGAGGUGCUGCAUGGUUGUCGUCAGCUCGUGCCGUGAGGUGUCGGCUUAAGUGCCAUAACGAGCGCAACCCCUCUCCGUAGUUGCCAUCGGGUGAUGCCGGGCACUCUGCGGACACUGCCACCGUAAGGUGUGA